UGGGGAAUAUUGCACAAUGGAGGGAACUCUGAUGCAGCGACGCCGCGUGAACGAAGAAGGCUUUCGAGUCGUAAAGUUCUUUUAUAUGGGAAGAUAAUGACGGUACCAUAAGAAAAAGCCCCGGCUAACUACGUGCCAGCAGCCGCGGUAAUACGUAGGGGACUAGCGUUGUCCGGAAUCACUGGGCGUAAAGGGUUCGCAGGCGGAAAUGCAAGUCAGGUGUAAAAGGCAGUAGCUUAACUACUGUAAGCAUUUGAAACUGCAUAUCUUGAGAAGAGUAGAGGUAAGUGGAAUUUUUAGUGUAGCGGUGAAAUGCGUAGAUAUUAAAAAGAAUACCGGUGGCGAAGGCGACUUACUGGGCUCAUUCUGACGCUGAGGAACGAAAGCGUGGGUAGCAAACAGG
rnacentral:rRNA from 3 species